rfam:Ornithorhynchus anatinus chromosome 2, whole genome shotgun sequence.
CCCCUCUCAGAUUCACACCUGGAGAGUUUCCAGUAUUCUACUGGUCUUGCCUAUGGAAGGGAGAGACAAGCAGAAGCAUACCCAUUCCAUUCCUAGCUUGGUCAAUGGCUAGUGAGUGGAAGGCAAUCUGCUACAAGU